ensembl:antisense_RNA anr-14 ncRNA
UUGUCAAUUGGUGGUUGUUCUGGGAUAUUAUCGAGUGGUUCGGAUUGAAGGCUAAAAUGGAGAGGGCGAUUCGAGAAUUCAACGAUAAGACCUUCGUCGUCGAGUUUUACACCGGUUUCGCGUUGAAGUCUGAAAAUAGAGCUUUUGUGGCAACGUGGAAUGGCAUAAUAUGGAGAUUCGGAAGAAGAAUUCGAUGGAAUCUGGAAUUUUUUUUUUUAAUCAAUUAAACAAUUAAUGCAUCUUUUAGGUUUUUAGCAAUUUUUUAUUUAAAAAAUUAUUUUAUUUUUCGGCUAAAUUUAAAAAAAUCGUGUUUGGAAUGUUUUUUUCGAUGUUUUAAAAAGAGCAAACUUAAAAUUUAAACGUUUGAAAUUAAAUUUUUUUUAAAUAAAAAGAGUAGUUUUUU